AUUGCUUCUUGAAUAACCGAUUGCGGCACUAUAUCAUUCGCAGGCGGUUCAGACAGGGGCAUAGAACAAAUCUGAAUCCCACGAAGGAAGGGUUAUUUCCAUUGGCCCUUCCUCGUUUGUAUUUCAUAUAGAUUUACAUAUGC
rnacentral:snoRNA from 1 species